rnacentral:rRNA from 1 species
AGUGCGGCGUGCUUACCAUGCAGUCGAACGAUGAUGCCCAGCUUGCUGGGUGGAUUAGUGGCGAACGGGUGAGUAACACGUGAGUAACCUGCCCCUGACUCUGGGAUAAGCGUUGGAAACGACGUCUAAUACUGGAUAUGACUGCCGGCCGCAUGGUCUGGUGGUGGAAAGAUUUUUUGGUUGGGGAUGGACUCGCGGCCUAUCAGCUUGUUGGUGAGGUAAUGGCUCACCAAGGCGACGACGGGUAGCCGGCCUGAGAGGGAGACCGGCCACACUGAGUGUACUGAAAAACGGCCCACACUCACACGGCAACCAGCAAGCAGAAAGAAUACACAAAGGGCGAAAGCCUGAUGCAGCAACGCCGCGUGAGGGAUGACGGCCCUCCGGGUGUAAACCUCUUUUAGUAGGGAAGAAGCGUAAGUGACGGUACCUGCAGAAAAAGCACCGGCUAACUACGUGCCAGCAGCCGCGGUAAUACGUAGGGUGCAAGCGUUGUCCGGAAUUAUUGGGCGUAAAGAGCUCGUAGGCGGUUUGUCGCGUCUGCUGUGAAAUCCCGAGGCUCAACCUCGGGCUUGCAGUGGGUACGGGCAGACUAGAGUGCGGUAGGGGAGAUUGGAAUUCCUGGUGUAGCGGUGGAAUGCGCAGAUAUCAGGAGGAACACCGAUGGCGAAGGCAGAUCUCUGGGCCGUAACUGACGCUGAGGAGCGAAAGCGUGGGGAGCGAACAGGAUUAGAUACCCUGGUAGUCCACGCCGUAAACGUUGGGCGCUAGAUGUAGGGACCUUUCCACGGUUUCUGUGUCGUAGCUAACGCAUUAAGCGCCCCGCCUGGGGAGUACGGCCGCAAGGCUAAAACUCAAAGGAAUUGACGGGGGCCCGCACAAGCCGCGGAGCAUGCGGAUUAAAUCGAUGCAACGCGAAGAACCUUACCAACACCUGACAUAAAACGGAAACAGCAAAAAAGGGCCCCCCCCUCGUGGACAGUGUACAGGUGGUGCAUGGUUGUCGUCAGCUCGUGUCGUGAGAUGUUGAGGUAAGUACCCCAACGAGCGCAACCCUCGUCCUAUGUGGCCAGAGCGGUAUGCCGGACACUCAUAAGAAACUGCCGGGGUCAACUCAAACGAAAGUGGGGAUGACGUCAAAUCAUCAUGCACCAUACCGCGGGCUUCACGCAUGCUCAACAAGGCAAGCACAAAGCGCGCGAGACCGAAAGGCAAGCGAAUCACAAAAAACCGGACCCAGUUCGGAUUGAGGUCUGCAACUCGACCUCAUGAAGUCGGAGUCGCUAGUAAUCGCAGAUCAGCAACGCUGCGGUGAAUACGUUCCCGGGCCUUGUACACACCGCCCGUCAAGUCAUGAAAGUCGGUAACACCCGAAGCCGGUGGCCUAACCCUUGUGGAAGGAGCCGUCGAAGUGAUCAUUC